rnacentral:rRNA from 1 species
GGAAUCUACCUAGUAGUAUAGGAUAGCCACUAGAAAUGGUGGGUAAUACUGUAUAAUCCCUGCGGGGGAAAGAUUUAUCGCUACAUGAUGAGCCUAUGUUAGAUUAGCUAGUUGGUGGGGUAAUGGCCUACCAAGGCAGUGAUCUAUAGCUGGUCUGAGAGGAUGAUCAGCCACACUGGAACUGAGACACGGUCCAGACUCCUACGGGAGGCAGCAGUGGGGAAUAUUGGACAAUGGGCGCAAGCCUGAUCCAGCUAUGCCGCGUGAGUGAGGAAGGCCUUAGGGUUGUAAAACUCUUUCAGUGGGGAAGAUAAUGACGGUACCCACAGAAGAAGUCCCGGCAAACUCCGUGCCAGCGGCCGCGGUAAUACGGAGGGGGCAAGCGUUGUUCGGAAUUAUUGGGCGUAAAGGGCAUGUAGGUGGUUUGGUAAGUUAAAGGUGAAAUGCCAGGGCUUAACCCUGGAGCUGCUUUUAAUACUGCCAGACUGGAGUCCGGGAGAGGAUAGCGGAAUUCCUAGUGUAGAG